rfam:Brachypodium distachyon strain Bd21 chromosome 4, whole genome shotgun sequence.
CAGGAUACCCAUUGACCCUCUUUAGUUCAACCAAAUGAAGUAAAAAUUUAAAAUGAUACAAUUUUUUAGAAAACUAGUUCAUUUGUUUGAACUAAGAAGGAUCAACGGGUAACCUG